rnacentral:rRNA from 1 species
GACGAACGCUGGCGGCGUGCUUAACACAUGCAAGUCGAACGGAAAGGCCCUGCUUUUGUGGGGUGCUCGAGUGGCGAACGGGUGAGUAACACGUGAGUAACCUGCCCUUGACUUUGGGAUAACUUCAGGAAACUGGGGCUAAUACAGGAUAGGAGCUCCUGCUGCAUGGUGGGGGGUGGAAAGUUUCGGCGGUUGGGGAUGGACUCGCGGCUUAUCAGCUUGUUGGUGGGGUAGUGGCUUACCAAGGCUUUGACGGGGAGCCGGCCUGAGAGGGUGACCGGCCACAUUGGGACUGAGAUACGGCCCAGACUCCUACGGGAGGCAGCAGUGGGGAAUAUUGCACAAUGGGCGGAAGCCUGAUGCAGCAACGCCGCGUGCGGGAUGACGGCCUUCGGGUUGUAAACCGCUUUCGCCUGUGACGAAGCGUGAGUGACGGUAAUGGGUAAAGAAGCACCGGCUAACUACGUG